rnacentral:siRNA from 1 species
UCAACAAUGGAGGUAAUGCACCUU